GGAAAAUAUACUGUGACUCAGAAAUUGUGAACAGUCCUUUUUGCUGUAAAAAUGAAUACUACCAGCAUGUCAAAAGAAAAUAGUGUGCAUUUGUAAUAUAAAGCAAAAUUGUACUUAAUGUAUAUUAUGGAAUUUUAAAUUUGCACUGACCAAAAAAUUUAAAGAUGAUAUUAAUUUACAUAUACAUGUGGAUCCGAAUACGUAAUUUGUACUUGUUCAGCUGAAAAGGUCAAUAGAACGGGUGAUAAUUUUAUGUGGUUUUCCCUCAAGCUGAUAAUACUGAAACAAGAACCAGCACUUUAUAUUCAGACUUUUUAAAAAAAAGUUCUACCUAAUUUGGGAUAGCAAU
rnacentral:lncRNA from 1 species